rnacentral:rRNA from 1 species
GAGGCAGCAGUGGGGAAUAUUGCACAAUGGGCGAAAGCGUGAUGCAGCCAUGCCGCGUGUAUGAAGAAGGCCUUCGGGUUGUAAAGUACUUUCAGUUGUGAGGAAGGGGGUGUCGUUAAUAGCGGCAUCUCUUGACGUUAGCAACAGAAGAAGCACCGGCUAACUCCGUGCCAGCAGCCGCGGUAAUACGGAGGGUGCGAGCGUUAAUCGGAAUUACUGGGCGUAAAGCGCAUGCAGGUGGUUCAUUAAGUCAGAUGUGAAAGCCCGGGGCUCAACCUCGGAACUGCAUUUGAAACUGGUGAACUAGAGUACUGUAGAGGGGGGUAGAAUUUCAGGUGUAGCGGUGAAAUGCGUAGAGAUCUGAAGGAAUACCAGUGGCGAAGGCGGCCCCCUGGACAGAUACUGACACUCAGAUGCGAAAGCGUGGGGAGCAAACAGGAUUAGAUACCCUGGUAGUCCACGCCGUAAACGAUGUCUACUUGGAGGUUGUGGCCUUGAGCCGUGGCUUUCGGAGCUAACGCGUUAAGUAGACCGCCUGGGGAGUACGGUCGCAAGAUUAAAACUCAAAUGAAUUGACGGGGGCCCGCACAAGCGGUGGAGCAUGUGGUUUAAUUCGAUGCAACGCGAAGAACCUUACCUACUCUUGACAUCCAGAGAAGCCAGCGGAG